rnacentral:snoRNA from 1 species
UAUGGGAAAUGAAGACAAUUUGAAAAUUUCAUCAGAGGUAGAUACUAUGCUGAACUCUAUUGCACGUCAGUCUGAUCCCUAU